CGCCAGUCCCAGGUGCCCCCUUGCCCAUCUCCUGCAUGCUGGGGCUGAGGUCUGAGUUAAGGUAAAUGAGCCCUGUUCACCAGGCACAAGGUAUUCUGCUUCUUCAGUAGCAUUAAAAAAACUAUAUAGACUCCAAAAAGGAAAUGAAAUUGCUUCUUUUAAUAUUAAACUUGUAAUUGUUCCUAUUUUUUCUCAAUAUUUGAUGACAGUGAACCAAAGCGACUGACAGCCUUUGUGCAACUCUUCGAGGGCGACCGCAGUGCGGCGAGGAGGAGUGAAGAUUUCUGGAGGCAGAAUGGAGAAGAUGAAAGCGAGCCUCAGAACUAACAUGUGUGCUUUAUUUUUUAAAGAUGGAACAGAGAGGAGGCACAAUUACCUCAGAUUUAGAAGAUCUUAGUUCAAGCCCUGACCUACUGAAGCUUUCCAUACCUCAGCUUCUCCUCCCUAUCUUAAAACCAGGUGCGGUGCCUCAGAUUCCCUGAAGGGAAAGUGGCAAAUUACUGAAGGCUGAGCCUUGGUGACAUGAUACAAGGGAACCGCCAACUUUGGCAUUCGUAAGGAUUUCAGACGGGGCAAAAGCUGACCAGCCAUUACCAUGCAAGGUUUCCAGGAGCUGAACAGUGCAGCCAUGAUCUCAGGAGCUGCCUGCACAGGGCAGUGGUUAGAGGCAGGAGGCUGACAUGGUGAGAGGAUGAUGGAGAAGGAACAGCAGAUAUGGAUUAGAUAUAGAGUGAAUUAAGCAGUGGGACAGAGAGAAGUGUCUGAUCUGGGACUGCAUCAUCUCCCAAAGACUCUACAAAGCGGUAAUUUUUCAGCAUGCCCUAAGGGUAACAGAAAGAAUUACAGACAUCUUCAAACCAUCCAACUCCCACAAGCAUCCUGCACCCUGGACUUUCACUGGAGCAACAAUUGCACAGCCAGUAAGGAACACUGGUGGUUCCUGAGUACUUGGAAGGGUGUUACAAAGCACACCACCAAAGCUUCAGUGGUGUCUGAUGUCCUUGAAGGGAGGAAAAAGCUGAGUGCAGCACCAUCUGCACUCGGCACAAUGGGAAAGAUGACAAAAAAAAAAAAAAUGAAGCCAUAGAGUGGAAAACCCCCAAAACCUACAGAAAACAAAAGCUGAAAGUGAAGAAAACCACAGGAUUUAUUCAAAAAUUUUAUUUGAACUGUCCACAGGCACAGUGAUUGUAUAAACACUAAACAACAGGAACAUAACUGAACACUAUGGGAAAAGAAACUGCUGACAUUUUUACUGCAGGAAGGACAGACCACCAAGAACAGCCUGACUCAAACACCCAAUGUUGGUUCCCACACCAGAGCUGUUUGUGUUGGCUCCAGCACCCAGUUCCAAGCAGAACACUAAGAACAUGCAUUCUGCUGAUGUUUGAAUAAGCCCUGCCAACAAAUUGAUCCCCCAGCAGCCGGGCUGUACGAGAUGGGGUGACAUAAGUAAGUGUGAGAGAGAAAGAAAGUGAAAUGAAAAGACACUCAGCACUCUUCUUCCAGCAUCAGUGUUCAGUGGGAGCUCUUUCCUGUUCCCUUCUUUACAAUGGAUUAUUUCUUCCCCCAGUCCAGGAAAAGCAUAACCCAAAAGGGCAUUGGUGAGCGUGUGUAAUGUACAUGCAGGGGAGACACGGCUGCCCAGAAACAGAUUCCACAGAUGGUAACCCAGAGGACAGCCUAAAUCAGGCAAAUCUCUAAAUAAGGUGUGGGAGACACUUUGUGAAGAAGAGCUGCAUUAACCCCAAGCAGACAAUCCCAGCUGUUGGCUGGGCCCUGCCCAGCAGCCUCCUGCAUUCACCUGGCCACCCUGCUCACACAGGCGCCUGCACAGGGCACCUGCAACCAACAGCUCCCAGCCAGUGCCACUGCCACUCCUCAAACUGCCUGGGAGCAAACCAUGCAUGGAAUCGGUCACAAAGGUAAUAUUACAUUUCUCCCUAGAAAAUCCUCUUCCCUUCUCCCAGAAGGAAGUCACUUGGCAUGGAGGACAACACUGACUUCUGACCACUCUUUUUCAGACACCUUAAUUCUUUUCCUUCUCACACAGAGCACUGGUUUGGUAGAUGAGCUCAUCAGGAUGUGUGCACACCAUGCCACAAAUGCAAGAAAAACCAGAGUGAAUAAUUAAAAAUACAGUAAAUUUAUAAUUGUUUAAAACUGCCAUGCCCCAGUAUAGCCUAUUUCCUUAAAAGAUUUAAUCUUUUCACUAUUUUCAGUCUUUUAAAGACUCUUAAUAUGAAAUGAAACUCUGUACCUUUAGUUGUCAUUUUCCAUCUUGCACAAGGGAACCUUUCCCACAGCAUCUUUUUAAGUCAUAAAUAAAACACCCAACUACUUUCUUUUUCCCACAGAUGAGAACAUUAAAACAUUGACAUUUUAAUCUGAUACAAGAAUGAGUUGUGUCAGCACGCUGCUUCCAGCUACAACAACAGAAAACCCAAGUUUAAUUAAAGACAGAGAGGAGAAGCUGCAUGGUGGUGCCUGAACCAUGGAUGUACAGCAGAUCCUUGCUUGCUCACCAAUUUUGGGCUCAGGUUCCUCUCUGGGCAACUGCUGGUCAGGCAAAAUAUGACUGAAAAGGAAGGAGAGGGAGGACAAAAAACAAACAUUUUCUCAGAUAGGAGAUGCAAAAGGUGAGACCAGAUACCUGAGAUUAACACAGAUCACAAGUAACAGCGUGGCACAAACAAAUCUAAACAAACAAAAAAAAAAAAAAUCUAAGGCUCCAAGCUGCUCUCUUGUGCCCCCAUUUCCCUGCUCCCUUUUAGUGCCUGUGGUAGUCUGUGGGACUCGGACAGUCCCAAGCAGUGCUGUGCUCUGGUCACACAUAACACGGCAUGGCACCAUCCCACAGAGCAGAAACACACCAAGAUCUGAGACCUUUCCCAGCACGUACCACGGCCUGUGAAUGUCCAGGUCCUGCAGCCCCAGGUACCCCAGCUCUGACAGCCCGUCUGCAGCAGUGCCUGGGAAGAGUUGUCAGAAAUCCAGACUAGCUAGAGAUGAUUUCUCUGUCUGUAAAUCCAAAAACAUCACCCCCAAAGCCUCCAGACACUGGUAUGGACUCUGGAGCAAUGAGGAAGAGUUCACAGAAAGCAUUCUCUCCACAUCCCCAAGAAUCAAUAUCCACUUGGUACAGUUGGAUUCUAUUUUUAAAGCUGUUUUUGCAGAUUACCAGAGACAACAGUUUUCCUUCCUAACGUAUAUCUUGGAGAAGAGCUUGCAGAAAGUAGAAAAAAACUACUAUGAAUAUACAGCAAAUAGCACAAACGAAUAACAUUAUAUAUUUAUUAAUUCCUUAGCCUUCCAGAGAAGCAGCAGAUGAUAUUUGACAGGGGACAUGUACUGCAGCAAGCACAGUGCUAAGAGCAGAGCGGGUCUUUCUGCAGUGUUCUGCUCUCCCUGGGAUGUGCUCUAUGCCAAGGGCUGGCACCACAGUCACAGAGCCAGCUGUCACAGCUGAGAAGCACCAGUGUCCUCCUGGCAUAGGACAGUAUUUUACAAAAACCUUCAAGAAUCUGAUGUCAGGACACUUUACAUGACCCUGUAGACGCUUCAUUAAAAAGCCAAACUCUACAGCACAGAAACGAGUAGGAUUGCUGCUCUUGUACCAUUGCAUUUCAAAGAGAACCCUUUUCAAGAGGGUAACAGAAAAAAAGACAUUUAAUAGCAAAUUUUAUGAGAGAAGGAUAAAACCCAGGUAGUUCAACAGUUCCUGAAAUCCCAGUGGUGGUCAAUAAAUCGACUUCUGCUUCACAUUAUAUGAAGAGGCUGUACUUAGCAAAUCACUGUGUAAGCUGCCUCAAUAACAGCAAUCCUGCUAUCAAGUUUACUUGCAAUGAGUCCAACAAAGAAAUUAAUUUCUUAGAUGACAAGAAAAGGUUAUCUAGAACUGGGAAAACACAUGAGACAAAGAUUUCCACUAAUAAAACAAAUAUCAGACUCAGAGCUGAAUUUGAAGCUAUUUUUUCUCUGAAAUAUUUUAAAUCCCUGUAGCCCAAACACUAGAGCUACAAAGAAAACAAAGAAAAUAUCCUGCAAACUGCCCUGCUAAAACACGAGGAGAGCAGAACGAGCCACAGCUCUUUUCAGUACGUGAGUUACUCCCCCAGCUCCGCGCACACUGUUCCUCCAGCGAGGCCAGAACAAGAAAAUAAACUGCAACCCAAGUUCCAGGCUUAAACAAACCUCACUUUGAGCUACCAGCUGAUUUACUCCCCAAAACUUCGGUACAACAUACCUUCCAGAAUUCAGAACAUGCCCUUUGCACAAGUACAAAAGUGUUUCUCAUGACUCCAGUAAGUAACAAAACACACCUUCCUCAUCUCAUCUUUCUGAUUUUAUUGAUCUGUUUAUUCCCAAGACAUUCCACAGGUAUCACCCAUCUUAUUUUCCAGUUAUCAUUUUUUUUCAUAAAUAUUUCCACAAAAGGGCACCACUUUCCUCGAAGCUACCCUUUAUUCCUCUCACUGUAAUACACACCCUUCUGUUAUUGCUCUCAUUUCAUAAUCCUCAUAUUUGUCUAUGCACAUCAAGUGAGCAAACUGACCUGAUUUGUCCACAUGGCCACAGGAAGUCAGCCAAAAACUGAGACAGCACAGAGGUUUGAUUUUGAAGGUCAUUAUAUUAAAAAAUGGACUCCCUGUCUGUGCUGCCCAAAGAUCUGCACCCACAGAUCUUAGAGCAGCUCAGUCCAUCCAACAUGCAGGAGCUCUGAUCAAUCACACACCUGGCACCUGUGCUGGAUGCCUUGGUGACCAUACUGCCCCACUGGAAUCAAGUUCUAGGAUUUGGGUUAGGUGUAAAAGAUUGUUGAAUUUCUCUACUUCACAGCUGCAAAGAUUAACAUCAAAUUUUAAUCGAUUCCAAACCAAAGCCACGUAAUUCACCUGAAAUAAUAACAGGAAGAGAUUUAGUCCAUCAGUACAUCAUGGAUGUCUGACAUCCAUGUGAGCCCAGCUGCCCAAACCAGCGACAAGUCACAUCAGCUCUAGUGCUGCUGUUGUGGCUGCUUAGGCAGGGGACCUCCAGAACCUCCAGAACAGAUUCCUGCAAGUCCCACAGGAAGACAAGGACUCUGCUAGGACAGUUACCUCCAGCCACUCACUCAAGAUGUAAGUGAGAUGGGGAAGAGCUAAGAUCUAGGUUUCGAUUUCCAUGGUGAUUAGAAGAAAGAACUUGUCUGAGAAGCUGAACCAUUAGUGCUGAUUUUGAGUAUUCUUUGGAAAACAGGCUAUUUGAGAGGACAGAGAGAAACAAUAACCGGGGGGUGGUUUUGUUGGGGCAGUGUUGUGUUGGUUUGUUUGGGUUUUUUUCAGAUUUGGUGACAUGAGUAGCUACAGUCUUGUCUGUGUGACACUGAGGGCAAAGCAAGAGAAUGGCCAAUACAAGACUCUAGCUAGAAAAAAAAAAAAAAAGAGAGGGUAAUAUAGCAUUAGUGACGUGAAUUUUCAGAAAACAUAUUCUUACACUAGUGUGGUUUUUAAUUAAAUGCUUAUUGCUAAUUAAUAGCACAGAUAUAGCAGGUUUUGUGUGACAGUUGACUUGAUGCAAAAUGACAUUUGAUUAAGAAAAUCAAAAUCAACAUGACACAUCAAGUGGGCUAGAGACUGAUAGGCCUCAGAAUGUAAUUGCAGAUAAGGCCAAAUACUAAAUAAAUGUUUCCAGCUUAUAGCAAUUAAAUAUCAACACAAAAGAGAACAGUUUCUUUUAUCCCACCCUCAAGAGCUUGACCCUGUGUUAUGCAGCAGUUUUGUCUAUGCUCUGAAAAAAAAAGGCACAAGAUGAUUACUGAACAAAUUUACAGAUUAGAGCAAUGAAAACAGGGAUCAGUGGUAGAAAGCAAUUUAGUUUGCCAGACAAAGAAGACUGGAACAAAGAUCCCCAUUUUUAAUAUAGCUAAAUGUAAGAAAACAUGCCUAAGCCCCACUUCCAGGCUGGCAGCCUCUCUUGAAAGCAGGUACUCUGAAAGGUCACUGUAGAAAAACAUUUGUAGGGAGCUUCAAGGGAGAUGCUGUAGGUAAAUAGGACCAUGGAGAUAAUUUUGCUUUCAUAUUUCCUCCAAAGCCAAAACUACACAAGUGAGGCUUCAGAUAACAGUUGAUAGCAGCUGGUGACAGAAACUCACAAUUAAAAAAACCCCAAACCAACCACUCCCCUAGAAAGCUGCCAAAAGUUUGAUUGAAACAGAAGUAAGGAAGUAUUUGGGCGUCUCAUGCCUUUCUUGAAGGUCAAAAGGGACAAAACUCAGGUAUCUGAGACAGGAAGCAAGAGAGACAGAUGCCAAUCCUACUCCAGUUCUCUGAGCCAAACACAAGCAUUCAAGCUCUCCUGCUUCUUCCUUUCAUACCUUGUCUUUGCAGAAUAUGCAGAGCAUUAAUAUUUAUGGCCUUAAAGGGAGCUACUCACACACAGUGAAAUGAAACAUCUUGCUUUCUUCAGCAAUUAAAUCCCACUGCUGCACGUCACAGCUUUUUUCAGCUGAGGUCCGGAAGUACAAAACCUCUUGGCAAGCAUUCUGCAAUGCCCCAGCAGGUGACAGUGCCAUGGCAGGGCAUGGCCAUGCCAACUGCACCCAGAACAUCUGCUGCUUUGGUCUGCUCACGAGUAUAUAGACAGGAGGAAGAAAAAGCCAAGAGGACAACUUAUCCUGGAUGGCUUUACAUCAAAACUCACGUCACCAUUCUUGGCUCUUUCAAUUUAUCCCUCCACCUUCCUAUAAAAUUGAAUUUGGAACAUCACAUGCAGCUGAACAACUGAAAGCCUGAAACACAAAAGCUCAAGAAACAUAAUAGGAAGUGCAGGAGCACACAGGAGCGUGUCAGAGCUGACGAAUUCCAGCCCUAGCUCCCAGUUCCCUGCCUGGGGUUCCCAAGUCCCCACCUGGCAGCACCUGUCACCCGUGAUUCUGGCCACCAUCACGCCAGGUACAACACUCCUCCAGCAGCCGGGAUCAAUCACGAGCUCUGGCACAAGAUCUUUGAAGCACACUGAGGGGAGAUUUCUGCCACAACAAGUGCUACACCACAGGACCACCUCAGACACCUCCAAGCCCAGUUUCUCCCAGCAGAGCCCCCUGCCCAUGAGCCAGGGCCCAGCUGCAGUGCAGAGGUUUGUGGUUCCCCUACCUGCCACCUUCCAACAUCAAUGCAUAGCUUCAAACUCCAAAGGGACACGCAAAAGAAAGCUGGAGGGACAGAGAGGAAUCAAUGUCAAAACAAACAAAUAGCUUUCAAGUGAUUUGGGACUCUAGAAAGGAGGGGUUGUAUUUUUAGCUGCACACAAGCAGCUCCAGGUGCUUUUCCUUUGUCCCCAUGACAGUAGGUAAGUGAACACACCUGCCUCACCUCGCGCCCCGCUGAUGGUAAACACGAGGUCUUGCAUUCAGGUUACAAUGUGGAGUCACUUCAGAGCAGCCCUGUGCCAAAAUAGCACAUUUCUGAGGGAUGCAAAGGUAUUCAAUAAAAAGCUUUUAAAGGCAUAUUUUUAAACUUGCAGCAGGAAAGCUUUUCUGUGUCAAGACAGUAAUUCUUUUAACAGCAUUGAUCAAAAUGUCAUUCUUUUAUGAGUGUACAAUACCUUUUAAUGGCAUACAACAAACCAUUAGGGUUCUACACCUCCGUGCAGCACAGAGCUUACUGGAAAAUCAGCACCACUGGCCAAAAGAUAGCCACUGGGUUUUCUCCCUUUCCUAAGGCAGAGUUUCUUCCAUUCUCUGCUGCACCCAAAUACCCACAAGUCAAGUGACCUCAAAAAAUUAAGUCAAACUUCUCACCACUUUCACCAGAGCUUUUUCCCCACAUGUUUUCUCAAAAAAUGCCUCUCAUAAACACAACAAAU